ACGGGAGGCAGCAGUGGGGAAUAUUGGACAAUGGGCGAAAGCCUGAUCCAGCGACGCCGCGUGAGUGAAGAAGUAUUUCGGUAUGUAAAGCUCUAUCAGCAGGGAAGAUAAUGACGGUACCUGACUAAGCAGCCCCGGCUACCUACGUGCCAGCAGCCGCGGUAAUACGUAGGGGGCAAGCGUUAUCCGGAUUUACUGGGUGUAAAGGGAGCGUAGACGGUAUGGCAAGUCUGAUGUGAAAACCCAGGGCUCAACCCUGGGACUGCAUUGGAAACUGUCAAACUAGGGUGCAGGAGAGGUAAGCGGAAUUCCUAGUGUAGCGGUGAAAUGCGUAGAUAUUAGGAGGAACACCAGUGGCGAAGGCGGCUUACUGGACUGUAACUGACGUUGAGGCGCGAAAGCGUGGGGAGCAAACAGGAUUAGAUACCCUGGUA
rnacentral:rRNA from 1 species